AUGCCCGUAGCUCAGUCGGAUAGAGGGCUUGAGUACCAAUCAAGAGGUCGGGAGUUUGAAUCUCUCCGAGCAAU
rnacentral:tRNA from 1 species